rnacentral:rRNA from 1 species
GACGAACGCUGGCGGCGUGCUUAACACAUGCAAGUCGAACGGAAAGGCCCUGCUUUUGUGGGGUGCUCGAGUGGCGAACGGGUGAGUAACACGUGAGUAACCUGCCCUUGACUUUGGGAUAACUUCAGGAAACUGGGGCUAAUACCGGAUAGGAGCUACUGCUGCAUGGUGGGGGUUGGAAAGUUUCGGCGGUUGGGGAUGGAAUCGCGGCUUAUCAGCUUGUUGGUGGGGUAGUGGCUUACCAAGGCUUUGACGGGUAGCUGGCCUGAGAGGGUGACCGGCCACAUUGGGACUGAGAUACGGCCCAGACUCCUACGGGAGGCAGCAGUGGGGAAUAUUGCACAGUGGGCGGAAGCCUGAUGCAGCAACGCCGCGUGCGGGAUGACGGCCUUCGGGUUGUAAACCGCUUUCGCCUGUGACAAAGCGUGAGUGACGGUAAUGGGUAAAGAAGCACCGGCUAACUACGUG